GGAAGGAUCAUUAUUGAAUAAACUUGAACAGGCUGUUGCUGGCCCUGAAAGGGGUACUGUGCACGCUUGUCAUCUUUACUUCUCCAACUGUGCACACAUUGUAGACCCUGGAGCUUUUGAUUUGUUUCGAUUGAGGACUGCUGUGCCCUAGGCCAGCUUUGCCUUGCAUCUCCAGGUUUCUAUGUUUUAUCACAAACCUCUGAACAUGUUUAGAAUGUUGAAUAUAAAAAGUUAAAAUAUACAACUUUCAGCAACGGAUCUCUUGGCUCUCGCAUCGAUGAAGAACGCAGCGAAAUGCGAUAAGUAAUGUGAAUUGCAGAAUUCAGUGAAUCAUCGAAUCUUUGAACGCAUCUUGCGCUCCUUGGUAUUCCGAGGAGCAUGCCUGUUUGAGUGUCAUUAAGUUCUCAACCACAACUGGUUUCAUAUCAGGUGUGGCUUGGAUAUUGGGGGUUACCUUUUGCAGGCUUCAGAAAUGAAGUCUGCUCCCCUGAAAAGUAUUAGUGGUAUCUGAGCAGAAUCUACUACAGGUGUGAUAAUUUGUCUAUGCCUUGGUGGACUGCAAAAAAAA
rnacentral:rRNA from 1 species